CUGGGCUCCCUGCCUCGCGCUCUAACCGCUCUUGAAGCUUUACUCCGGGAAGGCGCAUGCGCAAGCGCAGAGGCCUGGUUGACGGUUGGGGCCAACAUGGCGGUUGCAGAAUUCCUUACUGAAACCAGAGGUAAUGGUUAUUCUGACCCACCACUUCCGCAGAAACUUGAAAUGUAAGCAAAAGUAUCAGCCACCAUUCAUGUUCUUAAAUACACUCAUUUGUCAGUGAUGUCAGCAACUUUCCAAAAUUGAGCCUCAAUCUUAUUUUUAAUGCCUCCAACAUAAUAAUAUAUUUUGAUGCCUGCGGUCGAUAAAUUCAUUAUGAGUGUUCUGUGGAUCUCUGCUAUGUUCUCUCAUUUUUCCUCUUGCCAGGUAAAAUUUUCUCUUCUUAAAUUCCUGAUUAUGUUUGAGUGGCUAGCAAAUAUUGUGAUUAAAAUGUAUAGGGUUAAUUCCAAUCUCUUGAUGAUGGAAUCUUUCUGCAGAGACUUUGCCUCUAUCAGAAAGAUGGAAAGAGAAUUAGCACUCUUGGAUCACUUUAAUCCUCUGAGGGGACCAGGGAUUGAGACUAUUUGAAUCCUGUGAGAGGGCCAUUUCCAGCUCAUUCUCACUCUUGGGCCAGAAACAGUAAACUGUUAUCCAAGGUCUCUCUUGCUUGGAAGUUUCUUAAAAGCGUGAGCCUUCAAAGGGGUUAGAUUUGGUGCUAUGUCAUCCCACUUCCAGCUCAGGAAGUAGUGUAGGAAUACUGAUGAAUCUCUCAAUGAACUGAGCUAGUCCCCUGAUUCUUCAUGGUCUUUGUGUGAUAGAUCUUCCUUCUGCCUUGGAGCUACACCCCCAAACAGAAGUAUAUAAAAGUCACACAGGUAGACUGAAAUUUCCUUGUAGACAUAUUUCAAAAAAUAUAGCAAGAAAUGGGUGAAAUUAACUGUAAUAGUGUACAGAUGCUCCUUGACUACUAUGGGGUUAUGCCCUGAUAAAUCCAUCAUAAACUGAAUAUAUCAAAAAUUGAAAAUGCCUUAAUACACCUAACCUACAAAACAUCUUGCUCAGCAGCACGGUAACCUGUGGAGUAGUGGUUGUUUGUCCUGGUGAUUGUGGGGCUGACUGGGAGGUGUGGCUCAUUGCUACUACUACCCAAUAGUGUGAGAGAAUCCUACUACAUAUUGCCCUCCCAGGUAAAGAUCAGAAUUCAAAAUUUGGAGCAUGGUUUCUAUUAAGUACAUACCACUUUUUACUAUCAUAAAGUCAAAAAAUCAAAAAUAGCACCAUUGUAAGUUGGUGACUGUCUUAGUUACUUUUCUUGUUGCUGAGACAAAAUACCAAAAAUUAAAGAAGGAAAGGUUUAUUGUAGCUCACAGUUUGAAGAGGUUUCAGUCCAUAGUCAGCUGUCCCCAAGGCAGGGUGGUGUGAUAGAGGGCCAGCUCAGAAGAGAAACAGUUCAUGGCAAAGCAGGGCAGGCAGAAGGCAGCAAGCAGUAACAAGGAAGCGAAACAGCAAGCUAAAAAAGCAGCCCUCUUUCUGUCCCUUGUAUUCUAUCCAGUCUACAUCCCUUUGGGUGGCACUCACACCUAGGGUGGGCCUGGCCAUUAUCUACACUCAGAACUAUGCCAAACUGAUCAGUGGACUAAUCUAAUAAUCACACACCCUUAAUCCUAGCAGCACAUGCUCUAGAUCCAACCACCUCUGAAAAUCCCCACCUAUGACCCGAGCGUAUGAAGCUUGGCGGGGGCAGGGGGGGCAUCUAGACAUAAGCCAUAAUGGGGACUGUUUGUAUUUUUUUAACCCAGCAUAUCCAAAGUAUUAUUUCAGUAUAUAAGCAAUAUGUACUGAUGAGAUUUUUUAAAAAAACUUUUCCUCAGAAUCACAUGAUUUUAAAAUCACAGCACAUCCUUAGUUGGCCCUAGUCAUCUGUGACUAGUGGUAAUGUAUCAGAACAUUGUUGCAUGAGCUAAAUACUAAAGCAAGAAGCUGUACCAACAGUAUGGGACCUGGCAGGAGUUUGUGAAAGCAAAAUAGUCAGAACUGGCCCAUCAGCCACCUGCAGGGUGGCAGAGGAGAGAGGAAUUCUUCAGAAAGCUGACAUUGUGCUGCUGUCCAUCAUUAAUGAGAAUGAACAAGGCAUUCAGUCACCUUUCCCCUGAGAAGGGGUUUGGGAGGCCACUGAGAGAGGUGAGCAUGUCUCUCUUGGGACUAGAGAGCCAUGAGAUGUUUCCUGAGACUUAUCUGGAAUAACCCCCUGGUCAGAGAUGGUGACAGAGGCUCCCUUGUCUCAUGAAAAGACAAAGAUGUCAACUUUUAGAGCAAAUACUUUCACUUGACUUUGAGGCUGACGAGCAGAGAGGAGAUAGAGAGAAGGGGCCCACCCACACUUUUCCCUUGCUGCAUUCUGGUCCUGAAACAUGCCUGGGAUGGCAAACAGGACAAUUUUAAAGUAUAAGGAUAUCUGGAGUUUAAUAAUUACUUGGAUGGACCAAUGCAGUUACUGAGAUGAGACUGUUCCUAUGAUGAAAAGGUACCCAAAACCACAGAACCUACCUGAGAUAUUAACUGAGAGCUAAGUGGAGAAGGAACAGGUUCAGAGUAAGUUUCCCUGUAGAAAUAAGACAUACUAAAGCUUUUCUUGGAUUUCCCUGACCGAGUCUUGUUCAUUCAUUUCACUGGUUUCGUGGCAAAGGUUUGGCUUCACCUUCUUCUGGCCUCAGAUCGGGAUCAGAAUGCUGAGAGAAACUGUGGAUCAGAGAAGAUUCUACCAUUGCUGACGUGAGAUGGAGCGAGAGCCAAGAUGAACAUGGGAAAGAAAACGUCCCAUGGAUGAGAUAAUGACAACUUUUGACCUAGAGAGCCUAGACUUUUUUAUGUUGCUUCUCCCAACUUUAUUCUCAAUGAUGAAAGAUUCCAAGUUUAACCACAAGUGACUUUAACCACAAGUGUCUCUGUGUUUCUAACUUUGGUUAUGUUCAAGAUUAUGUUUAAUAAUCAUGACCAUUUUAAAAGCUGAAACUGUCAAAUUUCAGUCCUUCAGACUAAUUAUUUUUUCAGUGAGACUAUCCCAAGUAGUUUAAUCUCACUACAUGGGAGCCAGAGAGCUGCUAGGGAGGGAAGACAUCAAGUGGAAAAUAGGAAAAGCAAAAGCCAGUUUGGUCUCCCAUUAGAAGAAGACAGCCAGGGCUCAAAAGCACACUUGCUACUACAUAGUACUUUAUUAUCCACACGGGAAGUAAUCUAUUAACACUGCAACAACACACACACACAUCCUGUGUGAUUCCAUUCACGUACAGUCUUAGGAAAUGGAAGCAAAUGUACAGUGACUGAAAGCAUAUUAGUAAAUCUGUGUCUGGGGUGGGGAGGGCCAGGCCUGGAAGAAGGGGUACAAAAGCACCGGAGGCUUUGGGGGUGAUAGGCAAUUUUUAAUCUUACUUAUG
rnacentral:lncRNA from 1 species